rnacentral:rRNA from 1 species
CAGCAGCCGCGGUAAUACAGAGGGUGCGAGCGUUAAUCGGAUUUACUGGGCGUAAAGCGUGCGUAGGCGGCUUUUUAAGUCGGAUGUGAAAUCCCUGAGCUUAACUUAGGAAUUGCAUUCGAUACUGGGAAGCUAGAGUAUGGGAGAGGAUGGUAGAAUUCCAGGUGUAGCGGUGAAAUGCGUAGAGAUCUGGAGGAAUACCGAUGGCGAAGGCAGCCAUCUGGCCUAAUACUGACGCUGAGGUACGAAAGCAUGGGGAGCAAACAGGAUUAGAUCCCCGGUAGUCCCUGUCUCUUAUACA